AUGCACCAGUGUGAUACAGAGGAGGCAGCAGCCGGCGGGACGCGGGGAGAUCGGCCGGAUCCUUCGAGGGAAAGGGCCCGGACUGGCCUGAACGGGUCGGGGGAGAGCCAUACUUGCCAGAUCUCGCGAAGGUUGGAGGAAGGCGUGACUGUAGUGGGCGGUGAAGACCUUGGCAUGCCAUGGCUCGAAGAAGGUUCUCACGGCAUUGAUCUCCAGCGAAGCAGGGUAACGGGGCGAUGGCGGAUGUUACAGAGGAGGCGCGGCUGGGUCAACUCCAGCGCUCGGGCAAGUCCAGCAGGCAGCAGAGCGAGCGGGCGCGGGAUGAGCGAGCUCCUGCUCGUUGUAGAGGAACUUGGCGCGUGCGAGCAGGACAUCAGCAGUGUCCGCCGUGAACGAAGAAGAUGGCCGGCAGCACAGCAGAACCAGGCGGGGAUGGGCACGAAGACAACGAUAGCAACGCGUUCGUCGAGCAGGGGAGGCCAUGGCAUGGUGCUUGCCUCCUGCAGUUUCCAGGAGAGGACAGAGAGCAAGUGA
rnacentral:rRNA from 1 species